ACGAACGCGUGCGGCGUGCCUAAUACAUAGCAAGUGAACGAGAGCGACCGGUGCUUGCAACCUGGUCAAAGUCCUACGUUAGGGCGAAACCGGGGUUGGACGGUUAACGAACCGUGGGGUAACCUAGCCCGAUCAGAGGGGGAGUAACAUUCGGAAACGGAUGCUAAAACCGCAUAGGUCUUCGAACCGCAUGGUUUGAAGAGGAAAGAGGCGCAAGCUUCUGCUGAUGGAUGGACCCGCGGUGCAUUAGCUAGUUGGUGAGGUAACGGCUCACCAAGGCCGUGACGCAUAGCCGACCUGAGAGGGUGAUCGGCCACAUUGGGACUGAGACACGGCCCAAACUCCUACGGGAGGCAGCAGUAGGGAAUCUUCCGCAAUGGACGCAAGUCUGACGGAGCAACGCCGCGUGAGUGAAGAAGGUUUUCGAAUCGUAAAACUCUGUUGUUAGAGAAGAACAAGUGCUAGAGUAGCUGUUAGCUCCUUGACGGUAUCUAACCAGAAAGCCACGGCUAACUACGUG
rnacentral:rRNA from 1 species